GUCUUGACGGAAAGUAAAAAGAACAAACUUGUUUUAUACAAAAUCAGAUGCUCCAAAUGGUCAGUUGAUGAUGAUACCAAUCAAAGAAAACUAAGGAGGAAGAAAAAGAAAACAGGAAAGAGAGGAGGCAACAGGAAAAUCGGCCUUCUUCCUUCAGUCUACGCUUGAAAUUGCCAGGGAUGGAUAAAUCUGAAGAUGAAUGAAAAAAAGAAACUACUGGGAACGGAACAGAAACAAAAAAAAAGGAUGGGAAAUCUGAAGCUGCUAUUUCUUAUUCUGAUCUUAAUAGCAGGAUACAGUUGAAUAAUAACAUUAUCUAUUGGAGAUCACUGAAAUGUAGGGAGGGAAUUCCAUUUUGAAAACUUUAAUAUGUAGAGAGUCAAUACAUCAUUUUCACAAGCAAUAUCCUUAGAAGAAAGGAUUUUUUUUAGAACUAUCAUGCUACAGAAAACUGCAUUUUUAUAGUAACUGAAAGAUGCAAAGUUACUGAAAAAAUAAAACUGCCAUUUUAUUGUAUUGCCAUUAA
ensembl:lncRNA novel transcript, antisense to GRIK2